AAUCAUUUUUUAUUUUUUUUUCUUUGCAGCCACAGCUGAUGUUUAUAGGAAUGAGGGUAACGAGGCCUUCAAGAAAGGAGAUUUCAUCAAUGCUAUUCAUUUUUACACCAAAGGAAUUAAAAUGAACUGCAAUGAGAAAGAACUGAAGGCCAAACUGCACAACAACAGGGCUAUUGCACAUUUUAAACUUGGAAAUCACCAGGAUUCACUAAGGGAUGCAGAAGCAGCCAUUGAGUUAAAUUCAACUUUCCUUAAGGCAAUUGUGAGAGGUUAGAUAUGUUAGCUGUGCUAUAAUAAUAAUAACAAAAUAACUCAACACUCUAAGGUUAAAUGAGGUUAAAUGGAGUUCAAUCUUGUCUCAAUUGACUUUAAUUAAGAGGUCGAGACCACCCUGAUGUA